rnacentral:rRNA from 1 species
ACACACGUACUACAAUGGUCGGUACAGAGGGUUGCCAACCCGCGAGGGGGAGCCAAUCCCAGAAAACCGAUCGUAGUCCGGAUUGUAGUCUGCAACUCGACUGCAUGAAGUCGGAAUCGCUAGUAAUCGCGGAUCAGCAUGUCGCGGUCGAAUACGUUCCGGGCCUU